rnacentral:rRNA from 1 species
UACGUAGGGUGCAAGCGUUGUCCGGAAUUAUUGGGCGUAAAGAGCUCGUAGGCGGUCUGUCGCGUCUGGUGUGAAAACUCGGGGCUUAACCCCGGGCCUGCAUCGGGUACGGGCAGACUAGAGUGCGGUAGGGGAGACUGGAAUUCCUGGUGUAGCGGUGAAAUGCGCAGAUAUCAGGAGGAACACCGGUGGCGAAGGCGGGUCUCUGGGCCGUAACUGACGCUGAGGAGCGAAAGCGUGGGGAGCGAACAGG